GAAAAUGACCAUAACAGUGUGGCUAACAUAAUAUUCACGCGCGCCACCAAUUCAUUGUCAAAAAUUUCUCAUGCACAUGCAACUUGUAUGGGAUCAACCGCAAUUGAACGGCGUGC